rnacentral:piRNA from 1 species
UGGAACUCUAGUGCCCCAACCCGCUGCACAUC